CAAGAUUCUCAGAGGGCGGAGCCAGAGAGCAGUGAUUGGUCAGACUGACUGAGAGCCAGAGAGCAGUGAUUGGUCAGACCACAGACAUACAGAAGACAGCUCGCCAGCGGAUCUAGUCUGCUAUAUAUAUAUAUCUAUGGUCGGCACGUCUGAUAGCAUCUCUGGCUGCUGUUGACCUUGUUUUUGGAGUAAAACACGGUGGAAGCUGAAUUAGUGAGGAUGACUCCUGCUCCUGUCAUCUCUAAGCUCCUCACACAUCUUUACCUGCACAUGAGGAAAAUCACUCCUGUAGAAUGCAGUGGUUCAUCAGAACCUCUGGGGAUGUCCUGUGGAUCCUGUGGAUCCUGUGGGUUGCAGGGUGGGUCCUACCUAGACCAGGCUGAUCCUGGACCAUCCCACAGAUGCUCCAUCAGAUGUGGAUGUGGGGAGUGUGGAACCCAGAUGUUCAGAGGGAGAUGAUGCCACAUCUGGUCCAGCAGAUGGAAGGUCUUGAAGUUCUCUGACUGGCCUGGACUGAAGAUGGUCGUCUCACUGGAUUUAAGGUUCAGAUGCUCAGUAACAAACUCCACCAAUGAGCCAACAGGGAAGCUUUAGGUUUAUUAAAUGUUGCUAUGAAGGUUUCGCUGUUUUUCUUUGUGAAUGCAAUGAGCUCCCACUGAAAGUUCAAUUAGAACUUAGAAGUAAAUCCUUCUAUCUGAAAAGAUUUAGUUGCAUUAAUAACCUCAACAUUCUAAUUUUUAUUCCAGUCUUGGUUGGAAAUAGAAUCUCUGUAUUGAUUCAGGUAAAAACUGAACUUCACAGCAUGUUGGAGCAAAACAACCAGAUGAAUACUGUGAUGGUGUUGGAUUGUCAGACCAUAAUGUUGCAGCUCAAAGCAGCUUUUCUAUCUCAGUUCAUUCUGACAUUCAGCUAUGAAUCAACACAGCAGAUGGUGAUCCAUGCUGUGGAAGUCUCACAUCUCCUGAUUUAAUGGAGCUGCUUUGCACUUUUUACACUGUUUAUUCACCAACACUUUAUUUAAUAAAAGUCCCAUCUAGUUUUUAUGAGGAAUGUGAUGUUUUAAUUUCUCUGUGAAUAACUGCAGUCUAAUGCAACAGCUGGAGUUUUAACAUCUGUCCUGAUAUUGAUCAUGAAGUAUUGAUCAGAAUACUUAUGGUCAGCAGUCAUCCCUGAAGUUUUACAUUAAAAUCUUUACUUGUGUUGUGAACUUUGGUAAGAAGCAGAAACAUUAGCGUUGCCAUGGAUACAUGAGUGUUAAAUUCUGUCCAUGUUUCCAUUUUGGGAAAUUCAGUCCAGCAGAUGAGUUUGUUUUUACUGCCAGCUACCAUUCAGUCUGAGAUAUUAAGAAUAAGUAAAUGUGCUUAAUGUGGAAGUGAACAGAUUUUAUUUUUAUUUAUUCCUACAGCUGCUGUGUGGAAAGUUCCAGAAUGUGGAGGAAUUUAGUCUCACAAUCACAGACAAUAAAUAUUAUCUGAAAGUCGGGUUAUUGUUGUUUAUCAGCACAAUACAAAAAGAUUCAUGUUAGACAUAUUCCAGUUAAGACUCCAGAAUAUCAUGAUUUAUGUAAAUUUACUUCAAUAAUAUGAAUGUUCAGGUUAAGAUUGUGCAGUGAUAUUUAUUAUGUAAGUUUAGCUGAUUAAAGUUUAUGACUCUGCAUUACAGUAUUAUUUAUUAUUUACAUUUACAUCAUUAUUAUAAUAUUUAGGGUCAGACCCUACAGUAUUGAGAUUAAGAAAUCAAAUAUUCUAUAAAAUAUAAAUACACUGAACUCAUUUGGAUAUAUUUAAGUGAGACUCUACAAUAUUAUUUGACACAAAUCUAUCUAAAUCAAAAUUUUACUAAUUUUUACUCCAAACAUUUACUGGACUGAUUUAAAUAUUAAAAUCACUCCUUUCUAAUCCUCUGCUGUACGUUCAAACCUGAGGCCUUAAAUAGAAACACACAAGUAUCUGAUUGAAGGAACUUCUGCAGAAUCCUGGUUCCAGAACAUGAUGAUAGAAUUAUAGACAAACUUUAACAAAAGCUGCCUGAGAGUUUACAGGUUUUUAUGUUAGAUUUCUUUAGUAAUAUAAUGAGUUAUCAGCAAAAAUCAAGUGUUCAUUUGAUGAACUUCAUUUCCUAAAACAUCCAGAAUUGGAGCUCAUAUCUUUGGCAGCUGUAAAGUUUCUGCUCCUUCAAAGUUCACAACACAAUGAAUGAAUUCCUAAAACACUCUCAAUGCUGGAGAGCGUUUGUGAUGCUGAAGCAAUGACCAGUUUUUCUGUUUCUUCUCUGGAGAUGCACAAUGAGGGACGUCUGCAGAGACUGAGAAAGAGUCUCACCACAUCCUGACAUGAGGAAAAAGACUUUAUUGAAGACUACAAUGAGAAAAACUAUCAGACAGCAGACAGCUGCAUUCAAGGUGAGCUCUGAACAUUUGAUCUGGAACAGGAAUUCAAUAACGGCAGCAUGAGCUUCAUUUCAGUCUGUAGCUGCUGAAUUCAUGGAUGAAUCAUCUGGCACUAGAGAGGAAGACCAUCAAACAUCCACGUCAGCUGAUGGAGGUCCAAGAGUCUCACUGAACAAACAACCUACAGAGUGAAGACCUCAAAUCUGAUUGGACGGCCUCCUAUUCAGCCACAUGUGUGAACAAAUGCCUCUAAGCUGAUUUGUUUUCUAAAAUAAAUCUAGUUUGAGUCCUAA